UCAUUAAUCAUCAAGCAUGCUAUGGAUUUUCCAUUUUUAUAGGAUCUAUAUCUCAGUUAAGGUAAUACUGGUAAUUCUUGUGCUCCAUUUGAAGAUGAAAAAUAUAGGCCAAAUUCAUAGACUUUGCAUAGAAGCUGGAUAAUGAAGACAGCUCUGGAGGAACACAUAGAUACACACACACAGACACACAUAUAUAUAUAAAGUAUACACACAUAUAUUUUUUAAAGUUUAUUUUUUACAGUUUUAAAGCUUUUAAAGCAAAAGCCAGCCCCUCCCCUCUCCCAGAGUGGGCGGCCCCUCCCCUCUCUCUGAGUGGGUGGGGACAGCGGUUGCAUGGGCCGCUUUCCUUAUGAUGCCACAGGUCCCUCUGGACAUGCUGCUGCCUGGCCACGCCUCCUUUCCCUUUCAUCUUUGUCACUGACCAAUGGGCUUGGAGCAUUAAGGCCACGCCCCUAUUCUGCAUUCUAGUGGGGCCCUGGUUACACCUCCUGUGGCUCAGUCGCACAGCUGCCUGGUAGGUGACUGGAAGCAUUCAGCAGUGCUCACUAGGAUUUCGCUGAGGUGGCCCCAACCCCGCCUCCCUCCCCACCCCACGAUGUCAGAAAAAACACAACAGGGGAAAUUGGCCGCAGCCAAGAAAAAGCCUGGGGAAGGUUUCAAUCAGCUAGUUUCCUCCUUCCCCUCAUCUGACCUCAACCCUGGCUCCUCUUAACUCUCCAGAGAUGAAUGGUCUGUGACAGAAGACUUCUGACCAAAAUGAAGGGAAAGGAAAGGAUGCGAGGAUGUCUAGGUGAGGAUACAAGGAGAAGUUGGCAAUUUCCAACCUGGAAGAGGGCCUUCACUAAAACCUCACCAUCCUGGCACCCUGAUCUCAGACUUCCAGCCUCCAGAACUGUGAGAAAGAAAUUUCUGUUUUUUUAUAGCCAUCUACUCUGUGGUAUUUUUUUUUUUUUUAUAGCAACCUGAAUGGACU